rnacentral:sRNA from 1 species
AUGACACAAAAACAGGGUGGCGCAGUAUUCUAGUCAGUACUCAUGAUUCUGAAGACGGGCCUAAAAAUCCGUUUAAGGGCACAUCGAUGAAGUUCCUUGUGUCGGCUUGCUACGCCCAGUGGUGGGCUGAUGCUGGGAGUUAAGGCUUAGGGGCGAUCUGCAAUGGCAUGCGGGCGUUGACCCCUUUUCCGUGGAGACCCUUUCUUGUGGUUGAAAAGUUGAGCGCAGGAGCGAUAAAAUUGUUCCCUGUACUUGCCACCUCGACUACGACUAGGGAUUAAACCUGUUAUGCGGUAUUAAUAAUGCUGUGAACAGAGUAGCCUGCCUUGAGUGAAAUUUGGUGGAUAAUGGAUCGGAUGCCUGAUGUAUUGGCCGAUAUAUGGGCAUUAUUGCUGUUUGAAACCCUUUUUGCAAAAGAGGCUAGGAAUCAUCUUGACUGUCGGGGAAAACCCCUAGACUGUUCGAAAUGUAAUUUAUUGGGGAUUAAAGUGUGGACUAAGUGGUAAUCAGGCCCCAUAUGUGGUAACGCAAUGGUGAUGCGGUUAAAGGGAAACCUCUGGUUUGGCGACAUUCCAGUACGCAUCAGGGAAAUCCUGCCUGACCUAAGCCGCAAAAUUUACUCAAUAAAUUGCCACCCGGUUUUUAUAAGUC